UGGGGAAUAUUGCACAAUGGGCGCAAGCCUGAUGCAGCAACGCCGCGUGAGGGAUGACGGCCUUCGGGUUGUAAACCUCUUUUAGCAGGGAAGAAGCGAAAGUGACGGUACCUGCAGAAAGAGCACCGGCUAACUACGUGCCAGCAGCCGCGGUAAUACGUAGGGUGCAAGCGUUGUCCGGAAUUAUUGGGCGUAAAGAGCCCGUAGGCGGUCUGUCGCGUCUGCUGUGAAAUCCCGAGGCUCAACCUCGGGCCUGCAGUGGGUACGGGCAGACUAGAGUGCGGUAGGGGAGAAUGGAACUCCUGGUGUAGCGGUGGAAUGCGCAGAUAUCAGGAAGAACACCGAUGGCGAAGGCAGUUCUCUGGGCCGUAACUGACGCUGAGGAGCGAAAGCGUGGGGAGCGAACAGGAUUAGAUACCCUGGUAGUCCACGCCGUAAAACGUUGGGCGCUAGAUGUGGGGACCAUUCCACGGUUUCCGUGUCGCAGCUAACGCAUUAAGCGCCCCGCCUGGGGAGUACGGCCGCAAGGCUAAAACUC
rnacentral:rRNA from 1 species